UCUGAAAGGGGGAAUCCCUGGAUUACUGGAGAAAUCUUAGAGCAAAUUAGAGAAAUUUCUGAAGAUAUCGCUUGAAGAAUCCCGGGAGGAAUUCCUAGACCAAUUUCUGGAGGAAUCCUUGGAGAAGUUUUUGGACAAAUUCCGGGAGGCAUUUCUAGAGGAAUUCUGUAGGAAAUCCUGGAGGAACUUCUUGACAAAUCCUGGCGAAAUCCCUGGAGAAAUACCUGGUGAAAACCCUGGAAAAAGUCCUGGAGGAAUUUCCGAAAGUAUACUUGGCGGAGUUCCUUGAGGACCGCUAGUGGAUUUUUUGGAGAAACCCAUGAAGAAAUUUCUGAAGGAAUAAUUGGAGAAAUUCCUGGACGAAUGCCUGGAGUAUUCACUGGAUAAAUUUCUAGAGGAAUCUUUGGAUGAAUUCGUGGAGAAAUUCCUAAAAGAAUUCCAGGGGGAAUUCCUGCAGAAAUACCUAGAGGAAGCACUGGAGGAACCACUGGAGGAAUCCCUGGAGAAAUUCCAGGAGAAAUCCUGAGGUGAACCUUGAAUGAAUUCCUGGAGGAUUCGCUGGAGAAAUUCUGGGAGGAAUCCUUGGAGAAUUCCCUAGGGAAUCCUUGGAUAAAUUUCUGAAAUUUUUUUUGAGAAAUUCUGGGAGAAAUCCUUAGAUAAAAAUCUGGAAAAAUUCAUGGAAGAAUCCCUGGGAAUUCUUGGAGAAAUCCCUGGAGGAGUUUGUGAAGGAAUCACUGAAGCAUUUUUUUGGAGGAACCUCAGGAGGAAUGCAUGGAAGAACUUAUGGAAAAAUUCCUGGCAGAAUUCCAGGAGAAAUUCCCGGAAAAAUACUCAGAGAAAAUCUUUGGGUAAUUCCGAGAAACUAUCCCCAGAAGAAUUCCUGGGGAAGUCUCUGGAGAAAUUUCUGAAGAAAUUCCUUGAGAAAUUUCUACAUCAAUUCCUAGAGGAAUUUCUGAAGUAAUUCUAGGAGGAAUCCUUGGAGGAAUAUCUGGAUGAAUUACUGGAGGAAUCAUCGGAGAAAUUCCCGGAGAAAUCUCUGGAAGAACCGUUAGAGGAAUCCCUGAAGAAAUUCCUAGAGCAUUUGGUGGAAUUUCUGGUGAAAUCCGUGAAAUGAUUCCAGGAGGAAUCUCUACAGGAAUUUCUGGAGAAAAUAUUCCUGGAUAAAUUCCUGAGGGAAACACUGGAAGUAUUCCCGGAGGAAUCCCUGGAAAAAUUCUUGGAGGAAUUGCUGUAGAAAUUCUUGAAAUUAUUUCUGAAGGAAUCCCUGGAGAAUUUUCCGGAAAAAUUCCUGGAGGAAUUGCUGUAGGAAUUUCCGAAGGAAUUUGUGGAUCUCUUCCGGAAGAAAUUAUUGGGAUAAUUUCUGGAGGAAUUCUUGGUGGAAUUCGUGGAGGAGUCUCUUGAGGAAUUCUAGGAGGAAAUCCUGGUGAAAUUUCUGAAUAAAUUCCCAGAAAAUCUCCUAGAGGAAUUCCCAGUGGAAUUCUUGGAGGAAUAUCUGAAGGAAUCAUCGGAGGAUUUCCUGGGGGAAUCUCUGGAAGACUCUUUAAAGGAAUCCCUGAAGGAAAUCCUGGUCGAAUUUCUGGAGGACUGCGUGACAUAAUUCUUGGAGGAAUCUCUGGUGGAAUCCCUGGAGGAGAAAUUCCAGGAUAAAUUCCUGGAGGAAAUCCUGAAAAAAUAUCCUGGUGGAAUUACUGCAAACAUUCUUGAGAGAAUUUCUGAAGGAACCCAUAGAGGAUUUCCUGGAUUAGUUCCUGGAGUAAUUGCUGUAAGAGUUUCUGGAGGAAUUCGUAGAUUAAUUACUGGAGAAAAUCUUUUGGUAAUUCCUGGAGGUAUUCUUGGUGAAAUUCCUGGGGAAAUGCCUGGAGGAAUGCCAGAAGAAUACCCGGAUAAAUUCCGGGAGCAAUUCAUGGGAGAAUUUUUGAAGUAAUCCUUGCAGGAUUUCCUAAAGAAAUGUUUGAAGGAAUUCCUAGAGGAAUCUCAGGAGGAAUUUGUGCAGGAAUCCGUGAAGGAGUUCUUGGAAUAUUGCCUGUACAACCUCCGGGAGGCGGACUUUCUGGAGAAAUUGCCUUAGUAAUUUCUGAAGGAAAUCCUGGAGGAAUGCCUGGAUCAGUUCCUGGAUUAAUUCCCUGAGGAAUUCCUGGGAUAAUUUCUAAACGAAUUCCUGGGAUAAUUCCUGGUGGAAUUCUUAAAGGUAUUCCUGGAGGAGUCCCUGAAUGAAAUCCUGGAAGAAUGCCUGGAUGAAUCCCUAUAGAAAUGCCUAGAGGAACUCCUGGAGGAAUGUCUGGAGGUAUUCCAAAAAUAAUUUCUGGAGGAUUUCCUAGACCAAUCCCUAGAGGAUUCCCUAAAGGAUCUUCUGAAGGAAUUUCUGGAGGAUCCGCUGAAGAUAUUCUUGAUGACAUAACUGUAGGAAUUCCUGGAGGAAUCUCUAGAGAAAUUCCUUGAGAUCCAUCCAGAGGAAUUCCUAAAGGAAUCCCUGGAGAAGUCCCUUGGAUGAAUUUCUGGAGGAUUUUCUUGAAGUAUCACUGGAGGAAUCUUUGAAAAAAAAAUUACUGGAGUAAUUCCUGGACAAAUCUCUGGUGGAAUCUAUAGAGGAAUUCCUUGAGGUAUCUCUCGAGGAAUUCCUAAAAGAAUCCUUGAGAAAUCUCCAGAGGAACACCUGGAGGAAUCCCUGCAUAAAUUCCAUGGGGAAUCCCUGGAGGAAUCUUUUGAGAAAUCCCUGGGUGAAUAUUUCUGGAGGAUUUUCUUGAAGAAUCACUUGAUACCUUCCAGGAUGAACUUCUAGAAGAGCCCCUGAAAGAGUUCCUGGAAGAAUUCAUGAAGGAAUCCCUGGUGGAAUCUCUAGAGGAAUCCCUGGACGAAUACCUGGUUGAAUUUCUAGACGGAAUUCACUGAGGAAUGCUGAAACAAUUCCUGAAAGAAUUUCUGGACGAAUCUCUUAAGGAGUUCCUGGAAGAAUCUAAGAAUCAAUUUCCAAAAUCCAAGGAACAAUUUCCAAAAUCCAAGGGUUUCUGAAGAAAUCCUGGGAGGAAGUAUUGAAGAAAUCGCUGAAUUUCUUGAGGAAAUCCUGAAGGAAUCUUAAAAAGAGUAUGAAGAGUUCGAACAUGUCUGCAGUCAUUCUUGACGAAUUAUUGAAGGAUCAAUUGCAUGAACUCGUCAAGGAUUUUUUUUGAACAAAAUUUUUAAGAAAUUCCUGGAAUAAUUUGUAAGAUUUUCUGAUAGAGUUUCUAGAAGACAUUCCUUCAGAAAUUCUUCGAAUAAUUCCAGAUACAAUUAUUGGAGAAAUCUCUGAAGGAAUACCAGUAGAAAAAUCUUCAAGGAUCUCUGCAGAAAUUCCCGAAGAAAACCGCGAAAACAGCACUGAAACAAUCACUGGAGGAACCUCUAAAGGUAUCCCAGGAGAAAUCCCCAAAGAAAUGUAGGGGAGACUGGGGAGACUUGAUCCCUUUUUCUUAAUUUACCUGAAACUUUGAGAAAAACACAAAACUAGAUCCGAUUUCCGUAUAAAAUGGCAGGUAAACAUCUAUUGCAAGUCUAUACACAACAGAAAGCCUUUAAAUUAUUGUUAAACUUUUCAAAACUGUGUAUUUAUGGAGGCAUGUUUUAUGAUGUAUUUUUCAAAAAUGGGUGACACUUGAUCCCCCUUUGUGAACAUGGUUUAUUUGAAGGGAAAAUAAUUCCAGAGUCUUCCUAUUCAUUUUGUUUUCGAGUUUUCUUGUAUUUUCGAUGAAUAUGGAGUGUUUGAAAUUGUAAGAUUUCCUUAAAUUUUUAAGGAUAUGCCGUAUUUUCAAAAUGGGGAGACUUGAUCCCCAUUUUCUUGGUCUGUACUAAAGUUAUAAUUAUCUGACACAUUUUAUCGUUGAAUAGACUAGAAUUCCAAGUAAAUAGAGGCUUCCGAAUAGAAUUUUAUUUUUCACAUGUAUAAUGUGUGUGUAAUCCUCGAGGGAUCAAGUCUCCCCAUGUCACUGUUGUGUAUACUAAGCUGAAUUAUUUAAAAUAUGUUAACAACAACCUUAUUUGGAUAAAUAAGUUUGAAAGAAUUUUAUUUAAACUAUGUGCUGUGAAAUUUUGACACGAUUUGGUUCAAUUUUCACAAAGUUAUUGAGAUUUUUCGGAAUCGCCUAAAAGAUUUCUGAAGGACUGAAAACAAACCAUCAGCCGUUAAAAAAUAAUGCAAUGUACAAUCGAAAUCACUUGUAGCCAAAACAUAGUCGUUUGUCCAGGAGUAGUUUUGGAAAAAUUAUGCUAGAAGAAAAAUGUUUUUGAUUCCGAGCAAAUAUGGGGGGAACAAGUCUCCCCAGGGAUCAAGUCUCCUCAGUCUCCCCUACUGAGUAGUAUUAUACUGAUAUAUAAACAAACACGAAUAUUUUUGUUUCAAAUGAACUAAAUUUGUCUCCGUGCAAGUUUCACUAACCUUUGCAUGUUUUCUAAAUGUCGUUUUCGUUUUUGUGUGUUUUCCCUCAUUCAAUUUUAGUUUGACCGCCAGAGCUCCAUCCGGUACAGCUCCCGUCGAGCAAAGACGCUUGAAUCACUGGCAUCACUGUACGAGGACGACGAUCUGAUUUCGGCCGUGGAGGAAAGUGCCCUGCUGCAGCGCAAGUACGACAAAUACCUGGACCAGGUCAUCAUCAACGAGGACUUCGACGUCACAUUCCGAGCCGUUACGGAUGCACUGGAGGCCCUGAGCCACGAACACCAGUGGGUACCGGUCAACUGGAUCUACUAGGGGCGGUUGGCUUGAGGGGAUUGUCGAAAGUAAAAUGUGUUCAAAUUGAAUCCGAAUCCGAAUCCGAAUCAGAAAGUAUCGCUAGAAGGCCAUAACCGCAAAAAUGAAAUCACAUUGAAUUCACGUUUGUCCUCGCGUUGGAGGCGAAUGGGUAAAGUAAUAGUAUAGCUUCGACAAGUGUGCAAGUAUCUAGAAUCGUUCAAACUGAUGCAAACUCCAUAUCCUCUCAUUCAAUCAAAAUACGAUAAUUCGAGACUAGCCUCAACUUUGUCUAAGUGCAUUUUUGAUUAAAUCAACCAUAUUAGUAGAGCAUGGAUAUCAGCUUGACAACCCGGGUAGACGAGAAUAUCUAAAUCAUAUCUCAAAUCGAACACUUUUUGCUGUCAUAGCUCAAUGUGAUUUUGAUGAGUUAUUCAAAAUUCUAAUGAAUAUCGCACGAAUAGCUCAAAGUGAUAUGAUAUCAAUUUUUGUUCUUGUCGAAAUAGCUGAAAAUUACAGCAUAAGAACAAGUUCUGCUCUUCUGCACGAAAUGGAACACAUACACCCAUAGAGAUGACUUAAUGUUAGUGAAAUUUCUGAGCUGUGGAAACGAAGAGCCGCAUGCUCUUAUUCCCAUGUUGUUUACAACAGCGAGCCACAGUUGAGUGGUAAGCACCGUCGCCUCUGAAUCCUAAGGUCGUUGGUUCGAUGCUGGAUGCUGCCAUUUUUUUAAAUUUUUUUUCUUGAAAAAAAGUGACGUAUCUUGUCUGCUAUUGUUUUGAUCUUGUAAUAUCUUAACGAGCUAUUAUUGAGUAGUUCACCAUAUUAGAUUUUGCUAUUAUUUUUGUUCUUUUAUCUCUUAUAUCAAUCAAACCAAUAUCAGUUUUUGCUCUUCAGUAAUUCAAUCAAUCAUAACUGAAUAUGCUGUUCAUGAGAUUUUUCCACCUACUCGGGAAGCCCUAUCGCAACGUACUAUCAUUAGGAAAUCGUCCGAAUCUACGACAAAAGAUCGUUAGAGUCAACUUAGAAAAGCCUAAUCGUCAAAUAAAUCAAAAGGUAUUAGUGUCUAAUCGGUGGCAUAAACCACCAUCCAACACAUAAGCGCCUUCGCAGGAGUUCAGAAUCUAUGCAUUAUAGUAUGUAAGUCGUAAUUACGCCGGUAGUAGUUCAGCUAUUAAGUGAAAACCAUUUCGUCCAUUAUGUUUAGUUAAUUCGAAGAAGAAAGAUUAGAAAUGUAUAAUCAACCACACACACAACAAGUGUGUGAGGGGCAAUAUUAGCUCGUGUGCGAUGAGUAAGAUUGAAUCUACUAAUAGACGUUUAGCAUUAUUAAGAAUCUCCCGAAUCGAUUGUACUCGUUUGAGUUGUGUUUGGUUUGAUAGACUAGCAUGACGAAGAAUCUUGUUUUUAUUACUAUUAAACUGAAACAGUUAGCCCUAAGUUUGAAAGCAACUGUUAAGGAAACUAUUUGUUGUAGAUUUUCAUUGAAUUUAUAGAAAUGGAAUGCGAAUAAAAUAUCAGAUAACCUUCGAUGAAA